GCGGCGAACGGGUGAGCAACACGUAACCAAUCUGCCCUCGAGAUCGGAAUAACCACUGGAAACGGUGGCUAAUGCCGGAUGGUCCUGCGCUCGGGUAUCCUUGCGCAGGUAAACGGUGGCUCUGCCACUGCUCGGGGAGGGGGUUGCGGCCUAUUAGCUUGUUGGUGAGGUAAUGGCUCACCAAGGCUAUGAUGGGUAGCGGGUCUGAGAGGAUGGCCCGUCACACUGGGACUGAGACACUGCCCAGACUCCUACGGGAGGCUGCAGUCGAGAAUCUUCCGCAAUGGGCGAGAGCCUGACGGAGCGACACCGCGUGUGGGAUGAAGGCCCUCGGGUUGUAAACCACUGUCACGCUUUAGGAAUGGCGUAGGGUAAAUAGCCCUGCGAUUGACCAAGGCGAGAGGAAGCACCGGCUAACUCCGUGCCAGCAGCCGCGGUAAGACGGAGGGUGCAAACGUUGUUCGGAACCACUGGGCAUAAAGCGCACGUAGGCGGUCCAUUAAGCCAGGUGUGAAAUCCCUCGGCUCAACCGAGGAACUGCAUUUGAUACUGAUGGGCUGGAGGGUGGCAGGGGUGAGUGGAACUCCAGGUGGAGCGGUGAAAUGCGUAGAUAUCUGGAGGAACACCGGUGGCGAAAGCGACUCACCGGGCCACAACUGACGCUGAGGUGCGAAAGCUAGGGGAGCGAACGGGAUUAGAUACCCCGGUAGUCCUAGCCGUAAACGAUGGGCACUAGGUAGAGGGAAUGCCUAUGGUUCUCCCUGCCGUAGCAAAUGUGUUAAGUGCCCCGCCUGGGGAGUACGCUCGCAAGAGUAAAACUCAAAGGAAUUGACGGGGGAUCACACAAGCGGUGGAGCAUGUGGUUUAAUUCGAAGCAACGCGAAGAACCUUACCUGGCCUUGACAUGCGCGGAUUAGCUUCCUGAAAGGGAAGUAACGGCUCUUCGGAGCCGGAACGCGUACAGGUGUUGCAUGGCUGUCGUCAGCUCGUGUCGUGAGAUGUUGGGUUAAGUCCCGUAACGAGCGAAACCCUUGUCGCUAGUUGCCAGCGGGUAAUGCCGGGGACUCUAGCGAGACUGCCGUUGUCAAGACGGAGGAAGGUGGGGAUGACGUCAAGUCAUCAUGGCCCUUAUGGCCAGGGCUACACACGUGCUACAAGGGUCUGUACAAAGGGUUCCGAAGCCGCGAGGUUGAGGCAAUCCCAGAAAGCAGGCCCCAGUUCGGAUGCAGGCUGAAAUUCGCCUGCAUGAAGCCGGAAUCGCUAGUAAUCGCGUAUCAGCCAUGACGCGGUGAAUAUGUUCCUGAUCCUUGUACACACCGCCCGUCAAGCCACGAAAGCGGGGAGCGCUCGAAGUCGCUUUGUCUAACCUUCGGGAGGACGGCGCCGAAAGCGAGCUCCGUGAUUGGGACUAAGUCGUAACAAGGUA
rnacentral:rRNA from 1 species